GACGAACGCUGGCGGCGUGCUUAACACAUGCCAGUCGAACGGAAAGGCCCUGCUUUUGUGGGGUGCUCGAGUGGCGAACGGGUGAGUAACACGUGAGUAACCUGCCCUUGACUUUGGGAUAACUUCAGGAAACUGGGGCUAAUACCGGAUAGGAGCUCUUGCUCCAUGGUGGGGGUUGGAAAGUUUCGGCGGUUGGGGAUGGACUCGCGGGUUAUCGGCUUGUUUGUGUGGUAGUGGCUUACCAAGGCUUUGACGGGUAGCCGGCCUGGGAGGGUUACCGGGCACCUUGGGCCUGAGAUACGCACCAGUAUGCUACGGGAGGCAGCAGUGGGGAGUAUUGCACAGUGGGCGGAAGCCUGAUGCAGAGGCGCCGGGUGCGGGAUGACGGCCUUCGGGUUGUGAACCGCUUUCGCAUGUGACGAGGCGUGAGUGACGGUAACGGGUAAAGAAGCACCGGCUAACUACGUG
rnacentral:rRNA from 1 species